rnacentral:lncRNA from 1 species
GACAACUUGAGGUGUUCCACAAUGCCCUUUUGAAGUACUGUCCAAAGCAACUUCAAUUUCAAUACCCAGCAAUGAAGCUUUCACUUUCUGAGAAGUCCACACCCAAAGGUGUAUCAGCUCUAACGUCAGACGUCUUACUCUGCUCAACACAACAGUUGAAUCGACGGCAGUGUCCUGUCCUACAGACAUUAUCCUGAGAGAUAAAAGGCAGACCAUGUAUGCAGUUGUUACCUUUCAAGACUCAGAUGAGGUGAUGGUGGUAGCAUCAAACUGGCUGAGCCUAGACAAGAAACAAUGUUGCUGGCCCCCAUUCAAAUCACCAGACAAGUGCAUGGAAGCUGUUCAGAACAGAAUUAAAGCUGAAACAGCAGGGAGACCAUGGGAGAAAAUAAACAUUAGCUUUCACAGAGAAUGUGUCACUUUUGAGAAGGCAAAGGAGGAGCAAAAAGAAUUCAAAGAACAGAAAGAACGGUCAUAUCUAUUAGCCACUGGAUUCCCUGGAAUGCUAAAAAGACAAAGACUUGAAACCACUCAAGAAAUGUUAAAACAACAACUUCCUCCUGCAUCACCUGCAUCUACAUCCAGAAUGUCAGCUGAUGACAAGGAUGAGCUUCUCCAAAUGCUGAGAGAGAUCAAGAGCACAGUUCAGGAAAACUCUGCUAUGUUAAAGAAACUACUAAAAGACAAUAUGGUUUCUGAAGCACCCAGCAGUACAAGCGUGCCUUCAAAAAACAUUAAAGCAAACCUAAAACUGCCUCUUAGAACCUUUGAAGAUGUGGCCAGGACUGAAAGACAGCUCAACACCAUAAAAAACCCGGAAAAAAUAUGUAAAAGUUUUGUCAGGGCUUGGAGGUUUUGGCCCCAAGGAUGUGAUUAA